AGAGUUGUCUUGGUUAGUGAG
rnacentral:misc_RNA from 1 species